UACGUAGGCAGCGAGCGUUGUUCGGAGUUACUGGGCGUAAAGGGUGUGUAGGCGGUUGUUUAAGUUUGGUGUGAAAUCUCCCGGCUUAACCGGGAGGGUGCGCCGAAUACUGAAUGACUAGAGUGCGGGAGAGGAAAGUGGAAUUCCUGGUGUAGCGGUGAAAUGCGUAGAUAUCAGGAGGAACACCGGUGGUGUAGACGGCUUUCUGGACCGUAACUGACGCUGAGACACGAAAGCGUGGGUAGCAAACAG
rnacentral:rRNA from 1 species